rnacentral:rRNA from 1 species
CAAGCGUUAUCCGGAAUCAUUGGGCGUAAAGCGCCUGUAGGUUGUUUAAUAAGUCUGUUGUUAAAGACUAGGGCUUAACCCUAGAAAAGCAAUGGAAACUACUAGACUUGAGUAUGGCAGGGGUAGAGGGAAUUUCUAGUGUAGCGGUGAAAUGCGUAGAUAUUAGAAAGAACACCGGUGGCGAAAGCGCUCUACUGGACCAUUACUGACACUGAGAGGCGAAAGCUAGGGGAGCGAAAGGGAUUAGAUACCCCUGUAGUCCUAGCUGUAAACGAUGGAAACUAGGUGUGGCUUGUAUCGACCCGAGCCGUGCCGUAGCUAACGCGUUAAGUUUCCCGCCUGGGGAGUACGCACGCAAGUGUGAAACUCAAAGGAAUUGACGGGGGCCCGCACAAGCGGUGGAGUAUGUGGUUUAAUUCGAUGCAACGCGAAGAACCUUACCAGGGCUUGACAUGUCGCGAAUCUCGGUGAAAGCUGAGAGUGCCUUCGGGAGCGCGAACACAGGUGGUGCAUGGCUGUCGUCAGCUCGUGUCGUGAGAUGUUGGGUUAAGUCCCGCAACGAGCGCAACCCUUAUUUUUAGUUACCAAUUCGUUGGGUUCUCUAGAAAGACUGCCGGUGACAAACCGGAGGAAGGUGAGGAUGACGUCAAGUCAGCAUGC